rnacentral:tRNA from 1 species
UCCCUGGUGGUCCAGUAGUUAGGAUUUUAUGCUUUUACUGUUGUGGCCUGGGUUCUAGCCCCGGUCUGGGAA